rnacentral:lncRNA from 1 species
UCUCCAGCGACAUUACGAAGAGAUGAACAGUUCCCCACGGCAGCUUCCGGAAAUCAUGCAAAGUAAAUGCGGAUUUUGGAAUGAAGUUUCAUGAUUCAAGUAGGAUUCGAUGGGUGGUUUAAGGAAAAUACAUAAAGUUAUUUAUAACCAACAUUUCUGUUGGUAUUGGAAUAGGAAACUACACUGAGGAAAUUGCAUAAAAAUGUGGCCGCUUAUCUUGGCCCCGAGAGAAGAGAUGACGACAAUAACGUGAAAUCUGAUUUGCCUCCAACUGUUGGUUCCUGAAUUCUUAGAUCGGUGAAGUUGUAAUUCAAGUUCGCCAGUUUCAUCAUCUCCAGGACUUCAGUUUUGUGUACCUGCAUAUCUUCACUGUGUUCGUCAACCAUAUCCAACAAUGUUCCUUGCUCCCAGCAUUUUUGAAAGACAAAGAGCAAGUGCCAGCUUUCUUCCGGCUGAGAUCUGUCGAAAACUCUUCUUCCACAUAAGAUCUCCAAAAGAACGAUCCCAAAGCUGUAAACAUCCACCUUUUCUGUGAUAAUUGAGCUCCACCAUUCUGGAGCGAUAUAUCCAGGUGUUCCUUUUAUGGUAGUCAUCACUUCAGCUUGAGUUUUAUCAAUGAGCUUAGAUAACCCAAAGUCGGAUACUUUUGCAUUGAAAUUGUUGUCAAGAAGUAUAUUUUGAGGUUUAAUAUCAAGGUGCACAAUUUUUUGCCUGCAUUCUUCAUGGAGAUAUGCCAAACCUUUGGCUAUAUCAAGAAUGAUUUUCUUUAUGCACUCCCAUUCAAGUAUGUGCUCCCGAACUCCAUGAUAGAUCCACUUAUCUAAUGACCCGUUACUCAUGAAAUCGUACACAAGAAACCGUUGUGAUUUCCAUGUACAGAAUCCUCUAAGUCUAACCAGAUUCACAUGGUGAAUGCUACCAAUGGAUUGAACCUCAGCUAGGAAUGAUUUCUUAAUGUGUGAAAGACCUUCAAGGCAUUUUACUGCAAUCUUCGAUCCAUCUCCGAGAGUCCCUUCGAAAACUGAUCCAAAUCCUCCUUCACCAAGCUUUUUACUAAACUUCUCUGUGGCGGUUUUCAGUUCCUCAUAAGAAAACCGAGUCGGCAUUCCUGGAACUUGAUCUAAAUACUCUUCCUCCAUUUCAGCAUCCUUUUUUCGCUUGUGGACUACAUACGUAACAAACCCUAUGGCCACAACAAGUAGAAGCAUAAAACUUCCAAUCGUAGAGCCUACAAUUUUUGCCACUUGAUGAGACACAUGAUGUGUUGUAGCAUUCUGGACUUUUAUAAAAGCUGUAGCAGUAUAAUAACCUUGAUCAACAGUCUUCAUUGUAAAUAGCUCUGAACGCAGAAAACAUUUUCCACUCGAAGAAUUCCAACCGUAGUGGUAUAAAGCUGCUUUGCAUGAGCAAUUGUGUAGACACGCUUGUUUGCAAGUCUCAAUACUCACCUCCUUCAUGUCGGGAAUAUAGGUGAAGUACGUGACAUUUUCGAGUGUGAUAAAACCUUGAGUUUGUGUAGAAUUACAUGUGAGAGGAGUAAUUUCAUAGCAACCCAGGUUGGGUUGACGAUCGUCCACUGGUCUAAAAUAUUCUAUUCCAGGACAACUACAUUGUUCAUCAGUUGAGCAAAUGGAAUAUCUUCCGCAACGCAAAGGAUACUCACACUCUUCAACAGCAUCACUUGUAACAUCUGAUACCAUUCUCCACUCAUCAGAUUGAAACUCAAACACUUGCAAAUGCCCAUCUGGCAUCAGUUUCAUAUACUGAGCUGGUGAUACUCCUUGUAUGCCAAUCACUUUAUCAGGAUUACUUGGCUUGGAAGAAUGAACGAAGAAUGACAAACUCCCAUUCAAGAACCGAAUGUAUUUUCUUUCUUUAAUUGUAUCAUCAUAUGUGAUAUCCAUUCUGUAAUAGACUUGAGGUGGGUUUGAUUCAAUAUAACCAAACAAACCUUCAUUCGU